rnacentral:lncRNA from 1 species
CUCUCUCCCCCAUUCUUCUAGAGCCCAGCCAGCCUCCAUGGGCCACCAACUACAUCCUCCAUGGAGAAUCUUCAAAGCUCUAGAGCCCCUAUUCCCAAACCAUUUCCCAUCUUUUUUAUUACAUGGACUUACUCCAAAAAGGAGCGAAAGAACUUGUACAUGUUUCCAUUCUGAUCAGUUCUUUCUGGAUUUUCCGGGCAUUUUUGUUACCAGGUGUCUGAAAGAUCCUGAGUGCUAUGAACUGGCUUUCACAUCUGCGACCUGCUGUAGCCCUCCCACAACACUGGGCCCAGGGGUGUUGAUUUUCUUUUACAAAUGGGGCAACUAAGGCACGUUAACAGCUGAGCCUAGGUUUGAACCUGGUUUCCCCUGUGCUGGUGCAGAGCUGUUUCCCCUGGGAUAUAUGUCUCCAGUGUCACUGCCCUUCCACUGGGUUUCCUGCUUUUACCUAACAUCGACUCACACGGUCAUUUUCGGGGUGGCAGGGCCUCCUGUCUUGUCGUUUUAAUGGCCACAUGGCAUUCCAUCAUGUUGAUGGAUCAUUUUGUUUGGUCACUCCCUCAUCGUUGGAUAUGUGUGAGGUGUCUAAUUUCUUGCUAUAAUAAAUGCAACUGCUGUAUUUUGUUCAAA